AGUAUCACUGAUUAUUAUGAAAUGAUUACUGAAAAUAAUCUUGAAAUACAGAGAAGAGGAAUUUUCAGAAAUGAUCUACCCAGGAUGACACUGGCUGGGGGCCUGUGGACCAGAGGGCGGCGCUGAGUGAGGAAGCAGGAGAGUGAGGAUGGAUCAAGACCAGGGUCCUCAGAGCCAGGCGUCUUGCUCUUUUUGCCUUGAAAGGAAGCAGGUCUCCAGACCUCUCCUCUACCAUCCUUCAAAACUGCGGCCGCAGGGCAGGAGGGUUUCUGCUGGAAAGGCACAACGCCCGCUUAGCACCCGUGCUGGCUCCAGCAGAAAGACAGGUGAGCAGGGAAUGGUGGAGCAGUGGAGAGCCAUGUGGAGGCCAGCACAGGCCUGUGGGAACAGGGUGGAGGGGCCCCGAAGCCAGUCAACCGAGGCCUCAGGGGCUCCCUGGAGGAUGAGAAGAAAGAGCUUUACAAGUAUGUCAGAGAUAGAGGGUCUUUAGGGAUGAUGUUCCCAACGCCUUCAGCAUGCCGUGGUGGCUGAGAAAGAGUGUGCCUCGGGCAUCAAAUUCUGCCCCUGCCUCUUGGUAUUGCGUGGUCUUGACUAAGGCAGCUCUUGAGCUGGGUUCUGCAUCUGAAGAGCAGGGGCGGCAGUGACUCCGAUGGUGCAGAGCUGUUGACAGGACUACAAGAGCUUAGUCUGGCAUGAAGAAAGCCGGCAAGCAGCUAUAAUUAGUAUUUUUCAAAAACACAAAUAGAGGCCCAGAGAGGAAUGAAGACCUCUCCUAGGUUGCACAGCAAGUUGAUGACAAUGCCGGGACAAGACCCAGGUCUCUAGACACACAGUGUGGUGCUCUUUUUACUGCAGCCUCUAGUUAAAGGUGUGUUUGGAGCCUUCCAGAACAGGGCCUACGUCCAGUAUCUUCCAUCCUUAGGAGCUGAUGGGGCAGUCCUCUGAGCCUCCCACAUCCCCUUCCGGCGCCCAUCUGAUUUCCCAUGUGCUCCCUCCCCUCUUCAGACAAAGCUCCCCCCUGAAGUCAAGGGGGGGCCUUUCAUGUGCAGGGAGAGAGAAAGAGCAGUGGGAAGGGCAUGUGUGUGGCGUGUGUGUGUAGGGCGGCAUGUUGUAUGUCUGACCUCAGAGGUCCGGGAGAGGACCUGAAAGUCACAUUCAUGGCGAAUCUGUUCAUUGAGCUGUAGAGCGGUGUGGCCCAGCUGACGUGGGACUCAGGGGAGGCCCAUUCCCAGGAGCAGGCUGGGCCCAGACGCUGGGCCAGGCUGUGAGUGAGUGUGAGUUGAACAUCACGAGGUCACAUGGUUUCCUGGGCUGGAGCUGGCCUUUGGCCAGGGCCAGAGGUUCCGCCAGCAGAAGGAACCAAGCCCUCAUGUCCCGACACCAGACGGCCCACUCGUCAAUUCCAUCUGCUCAUUAGCCCCAGCAUGCUCCAGGCCCUGAGUGGGGCCUCUGGCGGAUCAGAGACCACCGAGCACAUGCCAGUCCCUGUGCAGGGUCCCUGGGGAUUUGUCCAGUAAUUAUUCAUUGAGCACCUACUGUGUGCUGAGUGCUCGGGAUGAAGCCAAGGACACACAGGCAAGAUUCCUGCCCCCGUGGAGUAGCCACAGACGGUGACCUGUAAGAGCCCGGCCCGGCCCGCGUGGAACAGUCGGCCUGGUGUGGGGCUGCCGGCAACAAAAACAGAAAAUUAUUUCACUGACUCAGGAGGGUGAUGGCACCCAAGAAAGCACGGUCAGCUCCGCCUGAGGGGUCCGGGAAACAUGGCCAUGGGCGUGCCCAUGAGUCAGGUUUUGGAAGGGAAGGAUGUUGUUUGAGGUAGUGGGAACAGCCUGCACAAAGCCAGAGGUGUAAAGGAACGCAGCUUGCCGGGGGAGCUUAAGGAGUUCUGUACGGAGGCACAGGAAGAGCAAGUGAGGCCGGAGGCGGAUCCUGCAUGAUUCAUAAAGAAAAACGCGCUGUCUGUGAGGGAGAGUAAUUUAUAGGCGACGUUUCCCCAGCUUCCAGAGAUGAAACUCACCAGGAGGAGGAGGAGGAGGACGAGAGACCUUCAUCCACUGUGAGUGGCCAGUGUGGCUCCUGAGCUCCCGGUCGGCCCCUCCGGCAGUGGCAUGAGUCUGUCAGGGCGUUUUGCUGAAGCUGCGGCUCUCCCUGGUCAUUGGGCCCAGAGCCAGACCUGGAGGACCAGGGGACAAGAGGAGCUGAUGCCCCCAAUGUCCUUCUCUGCUCUCCCAGCCCCUGCUUCCCACCCCCACCACUCGUCUCUCAUUUAUGAAAACAAAUGAAGUCAAGCUUCCCAGCCCUUCUCGUCUGGAGGAGAAUGGGGCAGGCAGCCAACUGACACCCACCUGACCCAAGCCGUACAUCAUGAGGGCCACGAGGCUGCUGUGGACACGCACGCUGGGGACAGGUCUGAUCAGUGGCCACCAAGACUCCAGAGUUGGACAGACUUGUGCUUGGGGUGGGGGUCGGCUGAGGGAGCGGGUGGACUUCAUAAUCAGAGGAGGAAAAGACCAAACAGAAUCUGUGGAAGGAAGAAAGGAAGGAAGGAAGGUAGGAAGGAAAGAAGGAAGGAAGGAAGGAACUGGGCCCUUACUCUGUUCCAGGUACCAUGCUAUUCGCUUCGCAUAUAGAACCUUGUUUCUGACUCAGUGAGGCGGCAAAAGCAACCCUGGUUUCAUAGAUGAGGAAACUGAGCCUCCUGAGAGGAGAGAGGGGCAUCCAGAGCUGUGGGUUUGACCACGUCUCCAGAAAAUGCCAGUGAGCAGAACAUAGGUCUUCCGGGUCCCAGGGGAGGGAUGGACGGGACAGAGGCAGGAACCCGGAGAGGGUUGGGGUGCAUCUGAGGCUGGUGGAGUGCGAAUGGGGCACCAGGUAAGAAUGGACUUCACAAGCCCGCCUCCUGCUGGGCCUCACGUCCGCGUCUGUGAAAUGAGAGGUAAACCUGGAUGUUAAAGUAAGUAGCCUGAUGGGGGUGGGGGGGUGAUUUUCAGCUGUCCCCAUCCCGUCUCAGCCAUGUCUUCUCUCCCCGUUAAAGCUCAUACCUCCUGGACCAGGUGCCCAAAGUCAUAUGAGCCGUGUCCCCAGCCCUGACAGACUGCUCCUUCGGGCACCGUCCCGUGGGGCCCACACUCUGCCAGCCUCCCUCAGCCCACACUCUUUCUCACUCCAGGCUUCUGUGUCGCUCCGUCGCUCGCUCACCACUCUCUGUGUCAUGUGCCCUGGGCUGGGCUUUCAGAGGUGCGUCGACAUGGUCCCUGCCCCUGGGAGCUCCCUGUCUACAGAGGGACUUGCCAGGUGGCCCGUCCCGAGAUGGAUGGGCUCAGAGCUCAGUGAGCUCCGAGGAGGCAGGGCCGGCUCUGCCCAGACCACUCAGGGAAGGCUGGAGCUGGGCUUUGAAGAGUGAGCAGGAGUUUGCCAGAGUGAGAAAGAGGCAUUCCAGGCAGCAGAACAGCACAUGCAAGGCAGAAAUGCAAGUAGGCAUCCCUUCUCACUAUGCUGUGUGUGCCCCAAAGCCUUGACCCCACUCCCUAGGAUCCUGACAUAACGCCUACUCUCUGUCACUCUCUGGCCCCUUUGCUGCCGUAGGACCCGAAGCCCCCCUAGGAUGCAGCCAGGGCCACAGAUGUCCCCUGGUAAAUAUGCUUAGAGACACAUGGGUGAACCAUAAAUUAAGCCUUCUGGAGAUGGAUUCUGCUGAAUAAAAAGCACAUUCAGUAGCGAGAAUAUUUGUUUUUGUUUUCCUUCUCCGAGUAAAUGGAAACAUGCACUGACCUCACUUUUCUCACAAGUACAGUAGCUUUCCUGAGCGGCCGGCAGGCCUGGGGUGCCAGGAAAAAGUGGUGGAACAUUCAGCAUCAGGAACAGGGGCCCCAGUGGCAGCUGUGGCCGGCCAGUGGAAUACAGCUGUCAGGCCGCUGACAUGAGUUUCCGAGGGGUGGGGAGGAUCCGGCCGGGGCCUCCCAGGGGGCCCUGAGCAUCGCCAGCAUGGGACUUUGAGACCACGGCCCUCCAAGUGCGUUUUCUGACCCUGAAGCUGGGGGCUCCCAGACAGCAGGCUGGGAGGAGAGCCUACACAGGGGCCUUGGCAUCAGGUAGACCUGAGUUUCCAUCCUGGCUGCCACCUUCUGGCUCUGUGAACUCAGAUAGCCAUUACCCUCGUCUGAGCCUCAGUUUCUUCAUCUUCAAAGUGGCGGUAAUUAUACCAACCUCAUGGGGUUUGCAAGUUUUGAAUAUGUGAAAGUACCAAAAAAUACUAGUCCUCAGUCCUUUUCUGACCUUCUCCUGACAUAUCUGACUCAAGCCUCGCCUCCUCUGUGAUGCCCUCCAGACCCAGUGACCUCUCCCACCUGGAGUCUAAGGUUCUUUCUCCUUCCGCUGCCUUGUGAUGAUGGCCACUUUUCUACGAGUGCAAGACAUCCAUCCACUCAGCCAGCCGCCAACCACGCACCCACUACCCGCUCACCAUCCGUUCAUCCAUGCACACACAUAUUCACUCUUUUACUCAUUUACUCAGUGAACGUUUUGAGCAGCUAGGUACUCUCCCAUCGUAGGGAAGGUGUGUUGUCUUCUGUCUGUUAUCUCACCUUCACCAGAUGUGGACACAGUGCACACUGCCCCCUAGAGACUGGGUCGGAUUGUCCUCAGUUUAGUCUUACAGCCAGCACCGGGCUUGGCACAGAACACUCAUUUGGUUGCAAGAAAACUCAGACAAACCAGCUUAAGAAAAUGGGGAUCUAAUAAGUGACGGAUCUGGAAAGGCCAGGUCUGGAUCUGGCUUCAGAAACAGCUUGAUCCAAGACUCAAGUGAUGUUCCUAAGACCUCGUCUCUCUGCCUCUCUCAGUUUCCUCUCCUCCACAUAGUAGCUGCAGCCCCCGCCCCACAUCCUUUCAGCUUCAAGUACAGCAGGAAAGAUUAAAAGUCUUCUCCAGAAACUUCCUCCAGACCACAUGGACUGAGAACUGGGGAGAAGUGGGACACCAGGGUAGACGGUGAGGGGGUUGGGUGCUGGAAAGGCAGACGCCAAAUGCCUCCUACACCUCCUACAUGCAGACGGCGGGGCGCCUGAGUGAACGGGAAUGCUCAGUGGGGCCGUCGAGGGGCUCACAUCCCCGGGGAGGCAGGCUGAGGACACAUGGAUAAAUAGAUAAACAAGAUCACCUCAGAGGGCAUAACUGUUAGGACGACAGUAGGGCAAGGCAGUGCAAGCAGAGGGCCUGGGGGUGAGGCUGUUAAAGAAGUGGUCAGGGUGGCCUUUCUGAGGAGGCAACACUGAGGUGAGGGGUUGGAGGGGCCAGAUCCAGGAGGGCCUCACAGGCUGUGGUGAGGAGCUUGGGUUUCUUCCAAGCCAGGCAUCAGGGUGAGGUUUUAAUUGUGGAAGAAGAUGAUCUAACUUGCUUUAACUCUUUGUGGAAUCCUUUUUAAAAAAACCUCUUUGUUGAGGCACAGCCUACCGAAGGUGACGUAGAAGGCACGUUCAUCCCGGGAGCAGAGGUCAAGGUCUUUUCCUGAUGGAGACGCUGUGUAAACCCCACCCAGACCAAGAUGGGGCACUGCCAGCACCCAGAAGUCUCCAUUGCGCCCCCUCUAAGUCGAACCCCCUUCGACAGGAUGCAGUUAAAGAGGGCUUCAAAAACAGGAUUUGAGUCGGGACCUGAAGAAAGAGAAGUGGUGAUGCUCUCAAGGAAUCAAAGCAAGCAACACUGAGAGUCACACUGUGACUCCUACCAAAGCUGACGUUCUGUGUGUGUCCUGCCACACUUUUCACCGUCAAUUAAUCCCGGGGGCCAGAUGUGUGCCCGUGUCGUUACAGCAGAGGACCUGGGGGAGCAGGUCUUUCGUAAUCACAUACUCAGGUUUGUUCUGCUGGCACUAUAUUAAUUCUCAUACUAAUUCCCAUGUCAGAGCUCAGUGUCAAUGGUUUCUAAGCCUGACUGUGCAUUGUAAUCACCAUAGGGGCUUUAAAAAUAUGCAGAUUCCUGAGCCCACACCUGGAGAUCCAGGUUCAGUGGGUCUGGAACGGAGCCUGGGAAUCUGUACUUUUUAAAAGCUUUCCCAGGUGAUUCUGCUGCAGCCAGUCUGUAGCCCCAGCACUGGGCAAGCUUUUAUCUGAACCAUCAGCGAUGCCUGUGGGUGAAGUUGUCAUUGCCGAGGAUGCAGCCUCUGAUUCUGCGCUCAUGGCGAACUUGGCCCACUGGGCCCACCACUGUGCAUCUGUCAGCCAGACCCAUAAAGAGACAGUUUACAUGGGUCAUUGCUUGCAACCCCACCUCCCCACUUCCUGCCAGACACAAGCACACGACACUGCACGGGGCAUCUUAACAGUCCUCUGGGGAGAAAACUUAGCUACAGAGAGGUGGGGUCACUUGGCCCAGAGUCACAUGGCUACUUGGCUGAGCUUGGAGAACUUGUCACCCCAGCGGCCUGUUCUUUCCACCACUCCAUGUGUGUUCUAGCUCCCUCUUCAGAGUGAGCUCAAUGCUCACGAUAGCAAUAAAUAGCAAUAAAAAGUCAGCAACAAUACAGCCCCUCCCUGGAGGGAGGGGAGCCCUUCCCCGAGAAGGAACAAUUAUCAGUUCCUUGGAACUUUCCUUCCAAAGGCAGAAGGAGCCAGGAUGGCUUGACCACGCCUUCAAUGCCUCAUCUCACUCUGGCAUGAUCCCUGCAAUGCUUGAUCUCCCCUGCCCACCGCCCACCCCAGGCUUGUGCCCUCUGCUCUGUUCUCCAGUCAACCAGAUUAGCUAACUUCCACAAGCUGACCUGAUGCUGCCGCUCUCCUUCUCAGAAAAGUCAGGGCUCCCUGCCUCCACUCCCCUUUCUAUGUGAGAAAGCUCAGAGUCUGCGAGCUCUCAGCACAUCCCAGAUUCUGAGGGAUCCAUGCGUCUAUCCCUCCCCAACAUCGAGUGAGUCCCGGUAGGAGCUGGGGAUAAAGAGGUAAAUAAAACCAGGACUGACAAUAUCAGGCCCAAGGUAUCUGCUCCCCAAUCAUGUGUCCAAGGCAGGCAUUGCCAGCUGAUCACACCAUUCUGCACCUUCAGAAUCCCUCUAGAUCUGCCGUCCCAUUCUGUAGUCACUGACCACAUGCAGCUACUGAGCACUUCAACUGUAGCUCGUGCCACUAAGAAACUGAAUUUUUAAUUUUUUAAUUAACUUAAAUUUAACAUC